UACGUAGGGUGCGAGCGUUGUCCGGAAUUAUUGGGCGUAAAGGGCUCGUAGGCGGUUUGUCGCGUCGGGAGUGAAAACCUUGGGCUUAACUCAGGGCUUGCUUUCGAUACGGGCAGACUAGAGGUAUGCAGGGGAGAACGGAAUUCCUGGUGUAGCGGUGAAAUGCGCAGAUAUCAGGAGGAACACCGGUGGCGAAGGCGGUUCUCUGGGCAUGAUCUGACGCUGAGGAGCGAAAAGUGUGGGGGAGCGAACAGG
rnacentral:rRNA from 1 species